UGGAGAAGGGAAAGGCUACCCACUCCAGUAUUCUGGCCUGGAGAAUCCCUUGGACAGAGGAGCCUGGCAGGCUACAGUCCAUGGAGUCCCAAAGAGUCAGACAGGACUGACUUUCACUUCAUUUCUCUUCACUUAAGUGUUCAAGUUAUUGUGUGAUCAUGUUUUCAUUCCUCUUACAUCUUUAGAAGUGGAAUGGCUGGAUCAUAUAAUUUCAUACCUAACUUUUGAAGAACUGCCAGACUUUUCCAAAGCACCUGCACAGUUUACACACCCACUAGUAAUGUAUGAUUUCCCACAUCCUUCCCAAUCCCUGUUAUUGUCUUUGAAAUUACAGCUUUCUAACAGAGUGGUUUCUUGCAGCUUUGUUUCCCUAAUGACAUGAAUGUCUUUUCAUGUGCUUAUUGCCCAUUUAUAGACUUGGAGAAAUAUCUAUUCAAAUCCUUCACCCAGUUUUUAACUGUACUAUCGCUCUACUGUUUAAGGAGUUCUUUAUAUAUUCCAAUACAAUGAUUUGCAAACAUUCCUCCCAUUCUGUGGGUUGUCUUUUCACUGGUUGCUUGGCUUGCAACACAGAAGUUUUUCAUUUAGCUGUAGCCCAUCUUAGGCUUGUGGUGUCCUAAGAAAUACUUGUCUAAGCCAAAACCGAAGAGUUUUAUAGUCUCAGCCUCUAUAGGUCUGUGGUGGGUUUUCAGUUAAUCUUUGUAUGUGUUGUAAGCCCUUCCCUUUUAAGUACCUGUCUGGGAAAUUUGCAUACACAAGUUUUUUAUUCUCUGGCUAGAACUUAGUUACCUGGUUGUACCAGUCAUCUCUAAGAGAUUGGAGAAUGUUUAUUUCGGGCAUCCGAUAGCAAUUUUUUUUAGGCUGCAUGUAAGCCUACUCAGCCUUAACAGUCUGAGCAAUUCUGUUGCUUCUUGUUUCUAAGAACUUGGCCGAUUUUAACAAGGAUUUAGCAGGAGGGUUUAGUGAGAACCGCUGCUGACUCUCACUCCCUCGGAGACCGAUCCCAAGGAAAAUGGCCCCGAGUCACUUGCCAGCCUUUCCCCGCAGCACAUGUGGGCUCUGGCGUUUUUCCCUUCGGGUAAUCCACCCCGCGGCACUUCGCGCCUUCUAGUUUUCCCGCGCGCAGCCCCCCGCCCGGGCCGCGUCGGCCGGCCCGCCCCUCCGCGCCGCGCCCGCUCGGCCGGGGAGCCGCCCUCCCCGCGGGCCCGGGCAGGCGAUAACACCCCGGGCCUUGGUGCGCUGGCGGCAGUGCGCGAUGGCCGUGUACCGCGAGGCGAUCCCGGGCCCGUCUCUGGAGACGCCGUCGCCCUCGCCGGAAGCACACACCUCAGCUCAGGGUUCGAUCCCUGCUGCCCAGGUGUCACUGGUCCUGUUUGGAGGGAAGGUGUCUGGGGCAGCUGCAGACCCUUUGGCUGGGUUUCUCAUCAACAGAAGCAGGAGGACAGGGUCUGGAAGACUCAUGCCCUGGGUGCUGGGCUGCACACCCUUCAUUGCCUUGGCCUACUUCUUCCUGUGGUUCUUGCCCCCCUUCUCCACCUUGCGCGGCCUCUGGUACACGACCCUCUACUGCCUGUUCCAAGCCCUGGCCACGUUCUUCCAGGUGCCCUACACGGCGCUGACCAUGCUGCUGACCCCAAACCCCAAGGAGCGGGACUCGGCCACUGCGUACCGGAUGACCUUGGAGAUGGUGGGGACGCUGAUGGGAGCCACCGUCCACGGACUCAUCGUGUCUGGUGCACACGGGUCCCACAGGUGCAAGGAGGACAUGCUUCCCGGGGAGGUGGCUGUCUCCCCCAACGCGACUCGUCUCUACUUCAUUGCAGCCGCUGUGGUUGCUUUGACUUACCCAGUGUGCAGUACUUUGCUCUACCUGGGGGUGAAGGAGCAAUCAGACCCCUCCACCCCAGCAUCCGGCCAGGGCCUGGGCUUCCUGACUGGGCUGGGUCUCACGGUCCGGCAUCGGCCCUAUCUGAAGCUGGUCAUCUCCUUCCUCUUCAUCUCAGCAGCUGUUCAGGUGGAGCAGAGCUACCUGGUCCUGUUCUGUACACACGCCUCCCAGCUUCAAGACCACGUCCAGGGCAUGGUGCUGACCAUCCUGGUCUCGGCAGUGCUGAGCACCCCAAUGUGGGAGUGGGUUCUGCAGCGAUUUGGGAAGAGGAUGUCAGCCCUCGGGAUCUGUGCGAUGGUGCCCUUUGCAAUCCUGCUGGCUGCCGUGCCCAUGGUGCCUGUGGCAUAUGUCGUGGCCUUUGUGUCUGGCCUGAGCAUCGCUGUGUCCUUGCUGCUACCCUGCCCCUGCCCCCAGGUCCAUGCUUCCAGAUGUGGUCGAUGACUUCCAGCUGCAGCACCAGCAUGGCCCAGGCCUGGAGACCAUUUUCUACUCAUCCUAUGUCUUCUUCACCAAGCUUUCGGGAGCAGGCGCCCUGGGCAUCUCCACUCUCAGCCUGGACUUCGCAGGGUACGAGUCAGGAGCCUGCAGGCAGUCGGAGCAGGUGGUGGUGACCCUCAAGGUCCUCAUCGGUGCAGUGCCCACCAGCAUGAUCCUCAUUGGUCUGUGCAUCCUCAUGGUCGGCCCCACUCCCAAGGUGCCAAGUCGGGCCAACUCCCGCUCCCUGGGGAGGAGGACCAGCUACACUCUGGCUUGAAUUUGAGACCCUGUGAGCCGGCACGUCAGGAGCAGUGUCUUCUGGGCUCCAGGCCCCCUUUUUCAGCCCUUUGGCACCCCUGCCUCACCGUUUAAACACGACCUGUCUUUUC